GGGGAGAUGAGGGUCUAACUGCAGUCGAGCGAACGAUGGGAGCUUGCUCCCUGAGAUUAGCGGCGGACGGGUGAGUAACACGUGGGCAACCUGCCUAUAAGACUGGGAUAACUUCGGGAAACCGGAGCUAAUACCGGAUACGUUCUUUUCUCGCAUGAGAGAAGAUGGAAAGACGGUUUACGCUGUCACUUAUAGAUGGGCCCGCGGCGCAUUAGCUAGUUGGUGAGGUAAUGGCUCACCAAGGCGACGAUGCGUAGCCGACCUGAGAGGGUGAUCGGCCACACUGGGACUGAGACACGGCCCAGACUCCUACGGGAGGCAGCAGUAGGGAAUCUUCCGCAAUGGACGAAAGUCUGACGGAGCAACGCCGCGUGAACGAAGAAGGCCUUCGGGUCGUAAAGUUCUGUUGUUAGGGAAGAACAAGUACCAGAGUAACUGCUGGUACCUUGACGGUACCUAACCAGAAAGCCACGGCUAACUACGUGCCAGCAGCCGCGGUAAUACGUAGGUGGCAAGCGUUGUCCGGAAUUAUUGGGCGUAAAGCGCGCGCAGGUGGUUCCUUAAGUCUGAUGUGAAAGCCCACGGCUCAACCGUGGAGGGUCAUUGGAAACUGGGGAACUUGAGUGCAGAAGAGGAAAGUGGAAUUCCAAGUGUAGCGGUGAAAUGCGUAGAGAUUUGGAGGAACACCAGUGGCGAAGGCGACUUUCUGGUCUGUAACUGACACUGAGGCGCGAAAGCGUGGGGGAGCAACAGGAUUAGAUACCCUGGUAGUCCACGCCGUAAACGAUGAGUGCUAAGUGUUAGAGGGUUUCCGCCCUUUAGUGCUGCAGCUAACGCAUUAAGCACUCCGCCUGGGGGAGUACGGCCCCAAGGCUGAAACUCAAAGGAAUUGACGGGGGCCCCGCACAGCCGGUGGAGCAUGUGGUUUAAUUCCAAACAACGCGAAGACCCUACCA
rnacentral:rRNA from 2 species